UACCCAAAGGUUGACCUCGGAUCAGGUAGGAAGACCCGCUGAACUUAAAAACCAACAGGGAUUGCCCUAGUAACGGCGAGUGAAGCGGCAACAGCUCAAAUUUGAAAUCUGGCUUCGGCCCGAGUUGUAAUUUGCAGAGGAAGCUUUAGGCGCGGCACCUUCUGAGUCCCCUGGAACGGGGCGCCAUAGAGGGUGAGAGCCCCGUAUAGUUGGAUGCCUAGCCUGUGUAAAGCUCCUUCGACGAGUCGAGUAGUUUGGGAAUGCUGCUCAAAAUGGGAGGUAAAUUUCUUCUAAAGCUAAAUACCGGCCAGAGACCGAUAGCGCACAAGUAGAGUGAUCGAAAGAUGAAAAGCACUUUGAAAAGAGGGUUAAACAGCACGUGAAAUUGUUGAAAGGGAAGCGCUUGUGACCAGACUUGCGCCAGGCUGAUCAUCCGGUGUUCUCACCGGUGCACUCGGCCCGGCACAGGCCAGCAUCGGUUCUCGCGGGGGGAUAAAGGUCUCGGGAACGUAGCUCCUCCGGGAGUGUUAUAGCCCGGGGCGUAAUGCCCUCGCGGGGACCGAGGUUCGCGCAUCUGCAAGGAUGCUGGCGUAAUGGUCAUCAGCGAC
rnacentral:rRNA from 3 species